rnacentral:rRNA from 1 species
CUUAACAAACAGACCGUGAACAUGUCAUCCAUCCCGCACGUGGUUCUACCCGUGCAAGGCCCCCGACCUUUCCGAAGGAGAGGGGCCGCAAAAGAACCCACGGCGCCGAAGGCGUCAAGGAAAACUGAUAUUGCCUUGCUCGGGGCUGUGCUCGGCUUGCCGAUCACACCUCGUGCAGCGAUGCUAUCUUAAUCCACACGACUCUCGGCAACGGAUAUCUCGGCUCUCGCAUCGAUGAAGAACGUAGCAAAAUGCGAUACCUGGUGUGAAUUGCAGAAUCCCGCGAACCAUCGAGUUUUUGAACGCAAGUUGCGCCCGAGGCCUUCUGGUUGAGGGCACGCCUGCCUGGGCGUCACGCCAAAAGACACUCCCAACCCAAACCUGGGGAAGGACGUGGUGUUUGGCUCCCCGUGCUGCAAGGCGCGGUGGGCCGAAGUUUGGGCUGCCGGCAUAACUUGUCGGGCACCGCACGUGGUGGGCGACAUCUAGUUGUUCUCGGUGCAGUGUCCUGGCAUGCAGCUGGCUUAUUGGCCUCAAGGACCCAUACACGACCGAAGCGUUUAGGCGCUCGGACCGCGACCCCAGGUCAGACGGGACUACCCGCUGAGUUUAAGCAUAUCAAUAAGCGGGAGGAA